CCUGAGCAAGUGGGCCUCGAUCCCACAACAAACUUUAAUUAACAACUAAAAAUCCCAUCCAGCGGACCUUUGCUCA
rnacentral:tRNA from 1 species